ensembl:lncRNA
GGGGAAUAGGAAAAGGGCAAUUAAAACUAAACUCUGACUCGGCCCUCCAGAUGGGCUAUGGCCGGGAAGAGGUCAGGGAGCAAGGGGGCCACGGGGAUCCGGGGCGUGGGACUCGGGCCCCGGCCUGAGUCUUAGGUAUCCGUAGCGCCCUCCUUCUUCCUCCUCUUCGCUGAAUACAGCUCACGGUAAGUACUGGUUCACACAGUUCGUUCUCUGGGUGCUCACUCUCUUUCUCUUUCUCCACAGGCAGCGGCGUAAGUACAGGUUUCCUCGGUCUCUCCUCGUGUUACCCACUCUCUCCUUUUUCUCUCCACAGGUAUCAACUUGGGCACAAUAGCACAGUUAGUUUGCUUUGAAUGGCUCUCACCUCUGGGCUGGACACAGCGUACUGUAAGUACAGGGUUCGCUCUAUUCCUCCUCGUGUUAUUCACUCUCUCUCCUUUUCUCUCCACAGGUAUCAACUUGGGCACAAUAGCACAGUUA